rnacentral:pre_miRNA from 1 species
CAAGUACUCCCUCCGUCCGGAAUUACUUGUCAUCAAAAUGGAUGUGUCUAGAACUAAAAUACAUCUAGAUACAUCCAUUUCAAUGACAAGUAUUUUCGAACGGAGGGAGUAAAAG